GGGAAGAUUUCAUAGUCAGAGGGCGCCACGCGUAUGAUCUAUUUACAUUCUAUGGUUCAGAGCGGUUCAUACGAAAUAUUUUUGUAUAACGUUUACCUGUGCCACGUUUACCUGUCUGAUGUUUACCUGUGCAAUGUAUUGUACCUGGAAAUUAAAUCAGCUCAAAGAAGAAUUAAAGAAGAGGGGUGCUUCCUGUAGUGGAAGAAAGGCAGACCUUGUAGAGAGGUUUAAGAAGCGUAUGAUAGAAAUUUUAACUUCACUGAUAAAUCAUGUCCCUCAGAACCAGUACAAACCGAAGUUAUGGUCAUACCAAAAGACGAUUAUUAUAAAGAUAUAAACAGCAAUACCCCAUUGCCACCAUUAAAUAAACAUCAAAUACAAGAGUAUUUUGGAGAAUGCAGUCAAUCAUUAAUAAAGGGGAAAAGUUUAUACGAGAAUAGAUACCUUCUUAUAUUAAGAGCUGUCUCGAUAAAUGAUUUUACAUAAUAUAUAAAAGGUUUUUGUAAAGCAGCAAUGAAAAAAACUCAGUAUGAGGUUAAUAUUAAAUUAUACAAAAAUGGUAUAUUAGAAGAGACUAAUUGUGAAUGAACAGCCGGAUCUGGAGUUAAUUCACAUUGCAAGCAUGUUGCUACUGUGUUGUUUGGUACAGUUGAUAUGAUUGAACAUAAAACUGUAGUAUUAGAGGAAGUGUCCACUCAAAAGCUAUAGAGUUUUCAUCGCCCGAAGAAAAAAUAUUCUUCCUCACCUCUGAAAGCACAAAAUUUACCAUACAAAAGAAUUAGAAGAAAAGUUUUAUAAUAAUUUUCUGUAAAAUGAUGUCCACAAAAUCGUAAAU